GACGUAGGGCGCAAGCGUUGUCCGGAUUUAUUGGGCGUAAAGAGCUCGUAGGCGGUGUGUCGCGUCGGCCGUGAAAACCUGCAGCUUAACUGUGGGCGUGCGGUCGAUACGGGCAUCACUGGAGUUCGGUAGGGGGAGCGGGGGAAUUCCUGGUGUAGCGGUGAAAUGCGCAGAUAUCAGGAGGAACACCAGUGGCGAAGGCGCCGCUCUGGGCCGAGACUGACGCUGAGGAGCGAAAGCGUGGGUAGCAAACAGG
rnacentral:rRNA from 1 species